rnacentral:rRNA from 1 species
UACGGAGGGUGCAAACGUUGCUCGGAAUCAUUGGGCGUAAAGCGCACGUAGGCGGCUCGUUAAGUUGGAUGUGAAAGCCCUGGGCUCAACCCAGGAAGUGCAUUCAAACUGGACGAGCUUGAAUAUGGAAGAGGGUCGCGGAAUUCCUGGUGUAGCGGUGAAAUGACGUAGAUAUCAGGAGGAACACCGGCGGUGUAGACGGCUCUCUGGACCGUAACUGACGCUGAGAUACGAAAGCGUGGGUAGCAAACAGG